CCCAGGGACACAAAAACUGCGGAAGGCCGCAGGGACCUCUGCCUAGGAAAGCCAGUCUCUCGUUCCACCUUAUGAGAAACACCCACAGGUGUGGAGGGGCAACCCACCCCUACAGAAGGGGCCACUGGGGCAGGGAAGAGACAGAUGUUGGAUUUUAGAGGAUCCGGUAAAGGAUGCUACUCUUCUCCAUCCAAGUUUGAAAGCGACUGAGAGAGACACACAACAGUCAGACAGAGAGAGAUCAAAAUAUUUUCCUGUGACUUAAGAGCAAUGGCCAAGCUGGCUUCCUGCUAUCCUACCCUUGAACUUGACAUUCACCCACUGAAAAUGCCCAGUCCCUGGCUCAGUGGGGAUACCAGAGGCUGCUAACUGCCAGGCAGCAACAGACCAAUAAAGGCUUCCAAAAGAGAUGGUGCGCUGGGCUGGGCAUGCCCAGGAGCUCCUCCCACGCUUGGCCAUCAGGUAAGUCACUUCUCUGCAGGGGAGAAGGAGGGAGUGAACACAUGGCGUUGCUGUAAUUCAAUGGACACUUCCCCAUGGAAGCACCAUGAUGUCGGGGAGGGAGGGGAGGAAGGAAGGGCGGUGCUCAGAGGGGAGGAAAGCUGUGACCCGAGGUGCCAUUGCCUGGUUAAUGUUCUUGGCAAGUCCUGGAUGGGGCAGGAGCUGAAAGAGGAAGCUGAGGCCACAGGAAGCUGUCAGAGCCCGGGACUAUGCCAAGAACUUCUCUACUUUAAAAUAACUUUUGGCUGGGUGUGAUAGCUCAUGUCUGUAACCCCAACACUUUGGGAGGCUGAGGCAGGUAGGUUGCUUAAGGUCAGGAGUUCGAGACCAGCCUGACCGACAUGGUGAAACCCCGUCUCUACUAAAAAUGCAAAAAUUAGCUGGGCGUGAUGGCAUGCACCUGU
rnacentral:lncRNA from 1 species